GACGAACGCUGGCGGCGUGCUUAACACAUGCAAGUCGAACGGUGAAGGUGGAGCUUGCUCCGCCGGAUCAGUGGCGAACGGGUGAGUAACACGUGGGCAACCUGCCCCUCACUUCGGGAUAACUCCGGGAAACCGGGGCUAAUACCGGAUACGACCUCCUUGGGCAUCCUUGGAGGUGGAAAGUUUUUCGGUGAGGGAUGGGCCCGGGGCCUAUCAGCGUGUUGGUGAGGUAGUGGCUCACUAAGGCGACGACGGGUAGCCGGCCUGAGAGGGCGACCGGCCAGACUGGGAAGGAGAAACGGCACAGACUCUGACAGGAGGGAGCAGUAGGGAAUAUGGAACAAUGGACGAAAGGCUGACGCAGCAAGGCCGCGGGCGGGAUGAAGGCAGACGGGUUGUAAACCGCAUUCAGCAGGGAAGAAGCCGCAAGGUGACGGUACCUGCAGAAGAAGCACCGGCUAACUACGUGCCAGCCGCCGCAGUAA
rnacentral:rRNA from 1 species